UACAGAGGGGGCAAGCGUUGUUCGGAAUUACUGGGCGUAAAGGGCGCGUAGGCGGCCUGUUAAGUCAGACGUGAAAUCCCCGGGCUCAACCCGGGAAAUGCGUCUGAUACUGGCAGGCUUGAAUCCGGGAGAGGGAUGCGGAAUUCCAGGUGUAGCGGUGAAAUGCGUAGAUAUCUGGAGGAACACCGGUGGCGAAGGCGGCAUCCUGGACCGGCAUUGACGCUGAGGCGCGAAAGCCAGGGGAGCAAACGGG
rnacentral:rRNA from 1 species